CCUACGGGAGGCAGCAGUGGGGGAUAUUGCACAAUGGGGGGAACCCUGAUGCAGCGAAGCCGCGUGGGUGAAGAAGCGCCUCGGCGCGUAAAGCCCUGUCAGCAGGGAAGAAAAUGACGGUACCUGAAGAAGAAGCCCCGGCUAACUACGUGCCAGCAGCCGCGGUAAUACGUAGGGGGCAAGCGUGAUCCGGAUUUACUGGGUGGAAAGGGGGCGCAGACGGCGAUGCAAGCCAGGUGUGAAAGCCCGGGGCCCAACCCCGGGACUGCUCUUGGAACUGCGUGGCUGGAGUGCAGGAGGGGCAGGCGGAAUUCCUGGUGUAGCGGUGAAAUGCGUAGAUAUCAGGAGGAACACCGGUUGCGAAGGCGGCCUGCUGGACUGCAACUGACGUUGAGGCCCGAAAGCGUGGGGAGCAAACAGGAUUAGAUACCCGAGUAGUC
rnacentral:rRNA from 1 species